rnacentral:ncRNA from 1 species
GCCACACCAUAAAGAGUGUGGGCUUGAGAAAUCAAGCAAAAUCAUAUAUAGUUACCUUGAAAUACUUCAAUAGUUUCAAGCUCUGAGGUCAAUGAUUAACCAUCUUUGAUGAGAGGAGAAGAGCUAUUGAUAUACAAAACCUACUAUAACAUUGGCGAAGUGGACUCACCCUCAAUAGUAAUCAGGAGG